AGUUAGUUAACUGUCUCCAGAUAGUAACAGUGCAGGGAGGUGUCUGCAUUCCAGGUCCAGAACUGGUUUUCUAGUUAGUUAACUGUCACCACAUAGUAACAGUGCAGGGAGGUGUCUGCAUUCCAGGUCCAGAACUGGCUUACUAGUUAGUUAACUGUCACCACAUAGUAACAGUGCAGGGAGGCGUCUGCAUUCCAGUUCCAGAACUGGUUUAUCAGUUAGUUAGCUGUCUCCAGAUAGUAACAGUGCAGGGAGGUGUCUGCAUUCCAGGUCCAGAACUGGUUUACUAGUUAGUGAGGUCCAGCUCGUGUCUGUGUGUUUGUAAGGAUCCAGGUGUGGGAACCAGACAGUUUGAAAACCAGCCCAAAUGCAGAGAGCAUUUUCACUACCACCGAGACACUACUUUUUAAGAACACACUUCUUGUGUUUGGUUUUUUGUCUUACACAGACCGUCUCCUCCCCUCUGUGAAAGCAUCGAGACUGCUUGUUAGUUGGACUAGCCGGCAAUGAGUUUAUAAUGAAAAGAAAAUGUAUUUUGAAUUCUCAGAUCUGAGGUUUUCAUUAAUUUGAUAAGUCAUGAAUUUUAAGCUCCGUUAUAAAAAUCUCUAUAAUGCUUUUCCCUGUGUUUAGACGUUUCUCAUCUGCCGCUUUGCGUGUUGCCGCACAGAGGUUGGGUACGUAGAUUUGUCGUAAAUUAAAUAUUAAAGCUUUAUAGACUAUUUUAAUUUCCUUUCUGUUGGCACUCGCUCUCCCAGCUCCACGUAGCUCUGUGCACAGUCUUUGAAGGGAGCCAAGUUUGGAGAAUGUUAAUGAGGAGAGUUUCCUGAAUGGGGCGAGGGAAGCCUCGCCGACCCCGACCCCGUAUCACGCCUUUGCCACACAGUCUGAGGUUUCCGUCGAGGCUCUUCUGCAAGAUAUCUGUUCUCGCCAGAAGCUGUCCUGCAUUGUCAGGGAAAAGGUAUUAGGUGCAGGUGUCAAACAUGACUAAUGAGGCAUGAGGAGUCGACAGCAAAAUAACAGAGAUUAUAGGGACAGAGGACUUGUGAGUGAAGUGUGAAUAGCGGUGUAGAUGUGUGACUGACACGAGAAGAGGGAGCCGGCCCAGAGGAGCGGGCGCCAGCACGCCUGUGUGGAGAACGGGCAAUUUCCCUUCUUUGAUUGCUAUCUCCUCACAUGCUAUCGUGGGGUAGGGGAAAAAAAAUAAUAAUUGUUUUUCUCUUUAAAUGGUGAGGUUCCUGCAAGGGCUCAGGCUUGGCAGCCAAGUUCCCCACAUGCCCUCAGACAAGCCAGAGUCAUCCUUUUCCAUGUCUUAGAUUUACACAACUUGUUUUAUUGCGAAGCUGUCGGAAAGGCCGAGGCAUAGUUUGCUCGUUCAUUUCCUCGUCGUCAGACCAUCACAGGGAGCGCACGGUAGGCGCACACCUACCUCCAGACCAAUUAAGUUGUACACAUCGGUUCUGUAUGAAAGAGGGACCAUGCGGUCUCCUACGCUUCUGGGGCCCCCAACGGCUCUGACUGGUCCAUCCUGUCUUCCUGAAUCCUAUAUUCUAAAUGGAGGAGACCAAGAAAAAAAAAAAAAA
rnacentral:lncRNA from 1 species